rnacentral:rRNA from 1 species
GACGAACGCUGGCGGCGUGCUUAACACAUGCAAGUCGAACGGAAAGGCCCUGCUUUUGUGGGGUGCUCGAGUGGCGAACGGGUGAGUAACACGUGAGUAACCUGCCCUUGACUUUGGGAUAACUUCAGGAAACUGGGGCUAAUACCAGAUAGGAGCUCCUGCUGCAUGGUGGGGGUUGGAAAGUUUCGGCGGUUGGGGAUGGACUCGCGGCUUAUCAGCUUGUUGGUGGGGUAGUGGCUUACCAAGGCUUUGACGGGUAGCCGGCCUGAGAGGGUGACCGGCCACAUUGGGACUGAGAUACGGCCCAGACUCCUACGGGAGGCAGCAGUGGGGAAUAUUGCACAAUGGGCGGAAGCCUGAUGCAGCAACGCCGCGUGCGGGAUGACGGACUUCGGGUUGUAAACCGCUUUCGCCUGUGACGAAGCGUGAGUGACGGUAAUGGGUAAAGAAGCACCGGCUAACUACGUG